UACGGGGGGGGCAAGCGUUGUUCGGAAUUACUGGGCGUAAAGGGCUCGUAGGCGGCCAACUAAGUCCGACGUGAAAUCCCCAGGCUUAACCUGGGAACUGCGUCCGAUACUGGUUGGCUUGAGUUUGGGAGAGGGAUGCGGAAUUCCAGGUGUAGCGGUGAAAUGCGUAGAUAUCUGGAGGAACACCGGUGGCGAAGGCGGCAUCCUGGACCAAUACUGACGCUGAGGAGCGAAAGCCAGGGGAGCAAACGGG
rnacentral:rRNA from 1 species